AGAGUUUGAUCCUGGCUCAGGACGAACGCUGGCGGCGUGCCUAACACAUGCAAGUCGAACGGUUCUAAGCGCGAGCUUAGGAUAGUGGCGAACGGGUGAGUAAAAGGUAGGAAUCUACCCCUUGGACGGAGAUAGCUACUGGAAACGGUAGGUAAACUUCGAUAAGCCCGAGAGGGGAAAGUGGUGAGACAGCCGAGGGAUGAGCCUACUCUCCAUCAGGUAGUUGGUGAGAUAAAAGCUUACCAAGCCGAUGACGGAUAACCGGUGUGAGAGCAUGAACGGUCACAAGGGCACUGAGAGACGGGCCCUACUCCUACGGGAGGCAGCAGUGGGGAAUCUUGGACAAUGGGCGAAAGCCUGAUCCAGCGACGCCGCGUGGAGGAAGAAGUCCUUCGGGAUGUAAACUUCUGAACUAGCCGAAUAAAAGGCCUGUGGACACACAGGAGAAGAAAGUAGGCUAGGAAAAGUCCCGGCUAACUACGUGCCAGCAGCCGCGGUAAGACGUAGGGGGCAAGCGUUACCCGGAAUUACUGGGCGUAAAGGGGGCGUAGGCGGUAAAAGAAGUCAUCUGUGAAAACCUAUUGCUCAACGAUAGGCUAGCGGAUGAAACUGAAUUACUUGAGGGCACCAGAGGUAGACGGAAUUACCCGAGUAGGGGUGAAAUCCGCAGAUACGGGUAGGAACGCCGGUGGAGAAGUCGGUCUACUGGGGUGCACCAGACGCUGAGGCCCGAAAGCUAGGGGAGCAAACCGGAUUAGAUACCCGGGUAGUCCUAGCCGUAAACGAUGCUCACUAGGUGUAGGGAGUGAUAAACUCUCUGUGCUGAAGCGAACGCGCUAAGUGAGCCGCCUGGGGAGUGCGUCCGCAAGGAUGAAACUCAAAGGAAUUGACGGGGGUCCGCACAAGCGGUGGAGCAUGUGGUUUAAUUCGAUGGUAACCGAAGAACCUUACCAGGGAUUGACAUGUAACUGAAGGUAGAGAAAUCUACUGGCCUGCUGCAAAGCGGGAGGUUACACAGGUGGUGCACGGCCGUCGUCAGCUCGUGCCGUGAGGUGUUGGGUUAAGUCCCGCAACGAGCGCAACCC
rnacentral:rRNA from 1 species